rnacentral:rRNA from 1 species
AUACGGAGGAUCCGAGCGUUAUCCGGAUUUAUUGGGUUUAAAGGGUGCGCAGGCGGCCAUUUAAGUCAGCGGUUAAAUCGUGGGGCUCAACCCCAUUCUGCCGUUGAUACUGGGUGGCUUGAUUGCGGUCGAGGUUGGCGGAAUUCGUUGUGUAGCGGGGAAAUGCAUAGAUAUGACGAAGAACACCGAUUGCGUAGGCAGCUGACCAGACCGCAAAUGACGCUCAUGCACGAAAGUGCGUGGAUCGAACAGGAUUAGAUACCCUGGUAGUCCGCACAGUAAACGAUGAAUACUUGUUUUCGGCGAUAUAAUGUCGGAGGCAAAGCGAAAGCGAUAAGUAUUCCACCUGGGGAGUGCGCCGGCAACGGUGAAACUCAAAGGAAUUGACGGGG